UACGUAGGGUGCAAGCGUUGUCCGGAAUUAUUGGGCGUAAAGAGCUUGUAGGCGGUUUGUCGCGUCUGCUGUGAAAUUUCGGGGCUCAACCCCGAACUUGCAGUGGGUACGGGCAGACUAGAGUGUGGUAGGGGAGAUUGGAAUUCCUGGUGUAGCGGUGGAAUGCGCAGAUAUCGGGAGGAACACCAGUGGCGAAGGCGACUUCCUGGCCUGUUCUUGACGCUGAGGCGCGAAAGCUAGGGUAGCAAACGGG
rnacentral:rRNA from 1 species